rnacentral:misc_RNA from 1 species
AGGAUAAGAACCAACAGCCCUCUUGCCCCGCUGUCCCGGUUACCCACCCUAACUCUCGACCGCCGUCCGCAUGCCUGUCCGAGCGUCAUUGCUGCCUAUCAAGCACGGCUUGUGUGUUGGGUCGUCGUCCGCCUCUCCGGGACGGGCCCCAAAGGCAGCGGCGGCACCGCGUCCGAUCCUCGAGCGUAUGGGCUUUGUCACCCGCUCUGUAGGCCCGGCCGGCGCUUGCCGAACGCAAAUCAAUCUUUCCAGGUUGACCUCGGAUCAGGUAGGGAUACCCGCUGAACUUAAGCAUAUCAAUAAGCGGAGGUGAAGUCCGUCCAUUCCAUUGAUUAUCAUUGGCAUCACCCUCCAGUACCGCUUUAUCUUUAUCAGCAGUUUAUUGUAUUUAGUUAUAUAAUUAUAAUUUACUACAUUUGUAUAAACAUUUAAUGAUCCCUGAUAUCUACAUCUAUAUCAAUCAAUAGUAAAGUCGUCAUACUAUUAUAGUUGGUUAUUGAUCGUUCUAUAGU